rnacentral:rRNA from 1 species
AACGAACGCUGGCGGCAGGCCUAACACAUGCAAGUCGAACGCACCGCAAGGUGAGUGGCGCACGGGUGAGUAACACGUGGGAAUGUAUCCUUUGGUUCGGAAUAACGUUUGGAAACGGACGCUAAUACCGGAUGAGCCCUUAGGGGGAAAGAUUUAUCGCCGAAGGAGCAGCCCGCGUCUGAUUAGGUAGUUGGUGGGGUAAAGGCCUACCAAGCCGACGAUCAGUAGCUGGUCUGAGAGGAUGAUCAGCCACACUGGGACUGAGACACGGCCCAGACUCCUACGGGAGGCAGCAGUGGGGAAUAUUGGACAAUGGGCGCAAGCCUGAUCCAGCCAUGCCGCGUGAGUGAUGAAGGCCUUCGGGUUGUAAAGCUCUUUCGCACACGACGAUGAUGACGGUAGUGUGAGAAGAAGCCCCGGCUAACUUCGUGCCAGCCGCCGCAGUAAUAC